rnacentral:rRNA from 1 species
UACGUAGGGGGCAAGCGUUGUCCGGAUUUACUGGGCGUAAAGAGCGUGUAGGCGGCCAAACAGGUCCGUUGUGAAAACUGGAGGCUCAACCUCCAGACGUCGACGGAAACCGUAUGGCUAGAGUCCGGAAGAGGAGAGUGGAAUUCUCGGUGUAGCAGUGAAAUGCGUAGAUAUCGAGAGGAACACCAGUGGCGAAGGCGAGUCCCUGGACAACUCCUGACACUGAGGCACGAAAGCUAGGGGAGCAAACAGG